GCAAAUCUGAAGCAUCAUCUUGCACAGGAAUUUGAAGUGAAGGACUUGGGAAAACUGAGAUAUUUUCUUGGUAUAGAGGUCUCACGGGGGUCAAAGGGCAUUUUUCUCUCACAGCGGAAAUAUAUCUUGGAUUUGCUCAAGGAAACAGGUAUGCUUGGUUGUCGACCUGCAGCUACACCUAUUGAGCAAAAUCAUCGUUUAAGUAGUGAUGCAGGUACACCCGUGGAUCGAGAGCGCUAUCAGAGACUUGUUGGAAGGAUCCUAAGGUAUCUUAAAGGGUGCCCAGGAAGAGGCCUUUUAUAUACCAGACAAGGAAACUUACAAGUUGAGUGCUAUACUGACGCUGAUUGGGCUGGUUCCCUAGAUGACCGACGCUCAACAUCUGGUUAUUGUGCAUUUGUAGGAGGAAACCUAGUUUCUUGGCGAAGUAAAAAGCAAGGUGUAGUGGCUCGAUCUACUGCAGAGGCUGAGUUUAGAUCUAUGGCUCACGGCAUAUGUGAGUUACUAUGGAUACAUAUCCUCCUAGCAGAGCUGCGGCUGUAC
rnacentral:rRNA from 1 species